AACGAACGCUGGCGGCGUGCCUAACACAUGCAAGUCGUACGGGAAAGUGGGCUUCGGCCCGCGAGUAGAGUGGCAGACGGGUGAGUAACACGUGGGUAACCUACCCGGAGGUGGGGAUAACCUUCCGAAGGAGGGCUAAUACCGCAUGACAUCUCAGGGGCCGUCGGCCCCGGACGAGCAAAGACUAGCCUCUACAUGUAAGCUAGCGCCACCGGA
rnacentral:rRNA from 1 species